rnacentral:rRNA from 1 species
CCUACGGGAGGCAGCAGUGGGGAAUUUUGGACAAUGGGCGCAAGCCUGAUCCAGCAAUGCCGCGUGCAGGAUGAAGGCCUUCGGGUUGUAAACUGCUUUUGUACGGAACGAAACGGUGAGCUCUAAUACAGUUUGCUAAUGACGGUACCGUAAGAAUAAGCACCGGCUAACUACGUGCCAGCAGCCGCGGUAAUACGUAGGGUGCGAGCGUUAAUCGGAAUUACUGGGCGUAAAGCGUGCGCAGGCGGUGAUGUAAGACAGAUGUGAAAUCCCCGGGCUCAACCUGGGACCUGCAUUUGUGACUGCAUCGCUAGAGUACGGUAGAGGGGGAUGGAAUUCCGCGUGUAGCAGUGAAAUGCGUAGAUAUGCGGAGGAACACCGAUGGCGAAGGCAAUCCCCUGGACCUGUACUGACGCUCAUGCACGAAAGCGUGGGGAGCAAACAGGAUUAGAUACCCUGGUAGUCCACGCCCUAAACGAUGUCAACUGGUUGUUGGGUCUUCACUGACUCAGUAACGAAGCUAAACGCGUGAAGUUGACCGUCCGUUGGGAGGUACGGCCGCGAGGUUAGAACGUUACGAAGGAAGUUAGACGGCGNGAGACGNGCCGACGGACGACGACGAGGGAGGAGGAG